GGACCCGCACAAGCGGUGGAGCAUGUGGUUUAAUUCGAAGCAACGCGAAGAACCUUACCAGGUCUUGACAUCCUUUGACCACUCGAGAGAUCGAGCUUUCCCUUCGGGGACAAAGUGACAGGUGGUGCAUGGUUGUCGUCAGCUCGUGUCGUGAGAUGUUGGGGUUAAGUCCCCGCAACGAGCGCAACCCUUAUUGUUAGUUGCCAUCAUUCAGUUGGGGCACUCUAGCAAGACUGCCGGUGACAAACCGGAGGAAGGUGGGG
rnacentral:rRNA from 1 species